CUUACAUUCCUCCACAUAAGCGGCAUUCAAAGGACAAAGGAAGGCCAUCACCAACUCCAGAGUUGUUUGUUCCUCUCUUCAAGAGAAAUGUUGGUUUGAGAUCACAGGAUUCUAAGAUAGACAUGAGUGGAAAGAUUGUGUGCAGAUCGUGCCAUAUCUAGAUGGUUUGUGGUUGGUUUGAGUGAAAAUGAUCAGUUUCCUUCUUACAUUCGUCUUGAGCCAGUUUCCUUGGAAUCUUUUGAGCGCAGAUUAGGGGAAAAACCCCUUACCUUGGUGAACAGUCUUGUGACUGGAGAGAAUAAUGAGCUGAAAGAGAAUUAUGUGAGAAGUCCAUGGGUAACAAUAGCAGAAAAUGUACAGCCAGAUCUACUCUCCUCUUUCAAGAAUUUGAAGAAUGAAAUGGACUCCCAAGGGUUUGAAAAAGUAAAGCCAACAUUGGUUGCUAGAUUUGGUAAAAUUCUUUUUCAUGGGAGCCCUUCAGUAAGGCUAGGAAGUGUUGAAAGAAAUCAGGUUGAUGAAACCAUUUUGAGACAGUUGAAAAGAUCAAUUUACACAAAUAUUCCUUCUUCAUAUAUGGAAAACAUUAUAGAUGGAGUUGUCCCAAAAGUUGGAGUUGAUUUUGAAGAGGAAAAGGACAUCUACCAUAUAAAGUUGUCUGAUAAUACACGACCAGAUUCGACUGUUUCAUGCAAAUGCAGUGUAAAGGCAGAUAAAAAACUUCUACUCUACAAGGUUGAACUAAACCCAGUGCGCCAGAUGGUCACAGAUGUAUUGUGCCUUGAAAAGAAUCUUGACCUGAGGCUAAUGCUAUUCACCAAGAGGAUCUUAAGUACUCCUACUGAUGAUGAGAUGAAAAGCAUAAGGGAUCUAGUUUCUUCUGCAGUUUUGGAUUCAGAUGCGAAGGGUGGGUUGAGAUGGCCUCUUGGGAAGACAUCUUUUGGAAAUAGAUACAGUGUGAUUGGGGCUUGGCAUACUGUAACUAAAGCCUUCAGAAGUCAAUCACUCAGGCUCAAAGUAAGACAUGCCGAUCGAUUUGAUUUGAGGACUGGAAAUGGAGAAGUUACAAGGGAAAUUUAUCUGAAGUUGAAAGGAAUAGUAGUUUCAGAAUUGCAGGAACAAGGAGCAGAAAGUGAUUCAAUCUCCACCAUGCUCAAAGACAGCUUAAGAUUGAUAUGGGACAACUUCUUAAGCUGCGAUCUUUUCUUAACAUGAAGAUGUCAUCAAGCAUAUGCUACUGUCUCUCUCUCCCUCUGUGAAUGUUGUACUUCUUUUAAUGUCAUUUAAGAGUGAAGCUAGGUGUGCUUGAAAUGGGGAGGGAUUUUGAAGAAGAUGACGUUAUAAAACUGUGGUUUGCUUUGGUUUCUUUGACUGCAUUGUGUAAUAUAAAAAUUUUACCAAAUAGUAAAAUUU
rnacentral:misc_RNA from 1 species